GGAUACUCGGCUACGAUGGCGGUGUAGCGGCAGACUGUAAAUCUGUUCCCUCAGGGCAAACAAGAUGGUUCGAAUCCAUCAGUAUCCACCA
rnacentral:tRNA from 1 species